rnacentral:rRNA from 1 species
CCUACGGGAGGCAGCAGUGGGGAAUAUUGCACAAUGGGGGAAACCCUGAUGCAGCGACGCCGCGUGAGUGAAGAAGUAAUUCGUUACGUAAAGCUCUAUCAGCAGGGAAGAAACACUGACCUUACGGUCAGCAGACGGUACCUGAGUAAGAAGCCCCGGCUAACUACGUGCCAGCAGCCGCGGUAAUACGUAGGGGGCAAGCGUUAUCCGGAUUUACUGGGUGGAAAGGGGGCGUAGACGGGGCGCCACGUCUGGAGUGAAAUGCCGCAGCUUAACUGCGGAACUGCUUUGGAAACUGGCGAACUAGAGUGCGGGAGGGGUAAGCGGAAUUGCUAGUGUAGCGGUGAAAUGCGUAGAUAUUAGGAGGAACACCGGUGGCGAAGGCGGCUUACUGGACCGUAACUGACGUUGAGGCUCGAAAGCGUGGGGAGCAAACAGGAUUAGAUACCCGUGUAGUC